rnacentral:lncRNA from 1 species
GGAUUACAGGCGUGAGCCACCGCGCCCGGCCUCUGCAUCAUUAGUUUCUAAAUACAGCAUUAGAAUUGGUUUCUAUAGCCGUGACUGUAUGUGUACCAGCUGAAGGGAAAGUUGAGGUUCAUGAAAUAUUUGGAAGACAGCAUGAGAUCUAACAACUUGUGAAGUGGGAAGAACUGACCAUACGAUAUGACCUUAAAUAUAUUCUCAUUACCUUGGAGGCAUUUUGACCCAUGAAGCAGCAUAGAUAUGUGCUGGCUUCCAGACAUGCAGUAUUCUCGUGCGGACAUUUGCAGCCAGUUAGUGGAACUGACUUUGGUGGUGCCAUCAGUUAGUUAAGCCAUAGAUGAGAUAUAAGAAAUAUUUCGCAUUCUCUACUGUACUGGAUUAUAAGUUAUUGGUAAAAUAAUUUUUAUGCUUUCCUUAUUUAAACAUAUUUCUAGAACAUGGGUUAAAUAGAUAUCUAUAAUUUGAUUCUUACGCAUUUUACUACUUUCAAAUCACAUCCUCUUUUUGAUGUUGCCC